rnacentral:rRNA from 1 species
GAGUUUGAUCAUGGUUCAGAUUGAACGCUGGCGGCAUGCCUUACCCAUGCAAGUCGAACGGCAGCAUGAUCUAGCUUGYUAGAUUGAUGGCGAGUGGCGAACGGGUGAGUAAUACAUCGGAACGUGCCCUGUAGUGGGGGAUAACUAGUCGAAAGAUUAGCUAAUACCGCAUACGACCUGAGGGUGAAAGUGGGGGACCGCAAGGCCUCAUGCUAUAGGAGCGGCCGAUGUCUGAUUAGCUAGUUGGUGGGGUAAAGGCCCACCAAGGCGACGAUCAGUAGCUGGUCUGAGAGGACGAUCAGCCACACUGGGACUGAGACACGGCCCAGACUCCUACGGGAGGCAGCAGUGGGGAAUUUUGGACAAUGGGCUGAAAGCCUGAUCCAGCAAUGCCGCGUGUGUGAAGAAGGCCUUCGGGUUGUAAAGCACUUUUGUCCCGGAAAGAAA